rnacentral:miRNA from 1 species
GUGAGGCUGUGCUCCCCCCGA